GGGAAAUGGGGAGGCAGUGAGACCAGCCCAGCCGGAGAGACAGGGACGGGAGUCCCAAGGGUACAGUGGAGAGGUGGGGAAUGGGUGACUUAGCUGAACAGCAUCCCCGAAUAUGGGGGCUCAGUGUCCUAGGAACACUCCGAGGGGACCACUGUCUUCUCCACAGUGCUGCCUUCGUGGGUCACCUGGCAGCUGUACUGGCUGGCAGAUUUCCACUUGCUGGCUGACACGCUCAGGUAGCUGCUGGCCGCAUACUUGUUGUUGCUCUGCUUGGAGGGCUUGGUGGUCUC